AACGAACGCUGGCGGCAGGCCUAACACAUGCAAGUCGAGCGAGCAUUUCGGUGCUAGCGGCGGACGGGUUAGUAACGCGUGGGAACGUGCCCUUUGCUACGGAAUAGUCCUGGGAAACUGGGGGUAAUAACGUAUGUGCCCUUCGGGGGAAAGAUUUAUCGGCAAAGGAUCGGCCCGCGGUGGAUUAGGUAGUUGGGGGGGUAAUGGCCUACCAAGACGACGAUCCAUAGCUGGUUUGAGAGGAUGAUCAGCAACACUGGGACUGAGACACGGCCCAGACUCCUACGGGAGGCAGCAGUGGGGAAUCUUAGACAAUGGGCGCAAGCCUGAUCUAGCCAUGCCGCGUGGACGAUGAAGGCCUUAGGGUUGUAAAGUCCUUUCAGCUGGGAAGAUAAUGACGGUACCAGCAGAAGAAGCCCCGGCUAACUCCGUGCCAGCCGCCGCCGUAA
rnacentral:rRNA from 1 species